GGCUAACGGAAUAAAAGAAAGAAAGGUCAACGGCUACAGCAUCCUACCAGGAAAGGUGAGGGAAGGAGUCAAGACCCCCUGGGCAGGACCCUCUCUGGCCCAUCCCCUGGGUCUUACAUGUCUUGGGGGAGUUAAGACAGGCAGAGCUGAAGACACUAAAGGCUUUGCCAGGUCACUGCCGCCCUACGUGAAAUCCUAAUGCACAGGACCUUGGCCUUCGACUAUAACCUGGAGCCUGAGGAGCACUUCAUGUCCUUUCUCCAGGCUGUGGAGCCCCUGGAUGAGGAGGAGAGGUGAGGCCAGCAGGAGUCAGGUGUGGGCUCCAGCUGCUGCCAGGCUCUGGGAGAAGGGCCCCCUGACAUGUGGCUCCAGGGGCUCAUAGUUGGCCCUCUGUCCUGCAGCUACACCCUGUCCUGCCAGCUGAAGCCCCCAGGCCAGAGGGCCAACAGAAAGGGACUGUUAUGGUUCUUCAUGUGCCUCAAUGUUUAAAUUUACUGGCCAGGGCCAGCUGCUGUCAUUGGCCCGCGGCCCUGCUGGUGUCCUGGCUGCAUGCGGGGGAGAGCUUCCCCUUCAGGCAGGUGGCAGCUGGCGCCCCAGGACCCUAGUCUUCCUGCUGUUCCUAUUCCUCCCGCUGCUUCUCCUGAGCCUCUGCUGGGGCAGGUGCUCUGGUGCCUCCUCGGUGGGCAGACUCGGGCAACUCCCCAGGCUGUUGCUGCAUCCUCAGGGGCCUGUAUGUAGCCAUGGCCAACCUGGCCACCUUCAUGCUGUGUCCUCCCCUCUGCUCAUGGCCCACUGGACAGAUGCAAGCCACCCCACCGUGCAGAGGAUGCGCCCCCUUGUGUUGGCAUCAAUAACGCUGGUGCCAACUGUUGCCUGGGUGCCAUCAGCCACCAAAUUGUAGACACAGGGUUCAAGGAAGAGGUGGGGGCUGUCCUCACCAGGCCCGGCCUUUCCCGGGAUGGACUUGGAUAUGGCACACUCCUGUGUGGGACCACUGGCCCCUGGGUGCCCAGCAGAGGCAUCCGGGGAUGCAGGGAUAGCCAGCUGUCACAGGGUCCUGGGGCAUGCUCCCAGGGGAGACCCCUGUGCAACUCCCUCCCCUCAUCCAUGAGAAAUAGCCUCCCUGAGGGCAGUGUGAUGUGGAUGCUGUCUCUGAGGUUUCUGGUUCCUGGGGACAGGGGUCAUCCCUGUGCAAGCAGAAUGUAAUAAAUGAUGAAAGGAUUGCCACUGCACUGCUCUUUCUUCUCAAA